rnacentral:rRNA from 1 species
ACGGGUGCGUAACGCGUGGGAAUCUGCCCUUGGGUUCGAAAUAACAGUUAGAAAUGACUGCUAAUACCGGAUGAUGUCUUCGGACCAGAGAUUUAUCGCCCAAGGAUGAGCCCGCGUAAGAUUAGCUAGUUGGUGGGGUAAUGGCCCACCAAGGCGACGAUCUUUAGCUGGUCUGAGAGGAUGAUCAGCCACACUGGGACUGAGACACGGCCCAGACUCCUACGGGAGGCAGCAGUGGGGAAUAUUGGACAAUGGGCGAAAGCCUGAUCCAGCAAUGCCGCGUGAGUGAUGAAGGCCUUAGGGCUGUAAAGCUCUUUUACCAGGGAUGAUAAUGACAGUACCUGGAGAAUAAGCUCCGGCUAACUCCGUGCCAGCAGCCGCGGUAAUACGGAGGGAGCUAGCGUUGUUCGGAAUUACUGGGCGUAAAGCGUACGUAGGCGGUUACUCAAGUCAGAGGUGAAAGCCCGGGGCUCAACCCCGGAACUGCCUUUGAAACUAGGUGGCUAGAGUCUUGGAGAGGUUAGUGGAAUUCCGAGUGUAGAGGUGAAAUUCGUAGA